rnacentral:lncRNA from 10 species
UGUGGAGCAGUUUACACCUUCCAGGGUUUGUGUAAGUACACUCUAUGAUAUCUGUACAAUGACAAAAGCACCUAACGACUAAUGAUGCAUUUCUCAAAAUGUACCCCCACCCUUAAGUGAUGCAUGACUAUAAAAGGAAAAUUUUAAAUACAAUCUUCUCACUUAAUCUUUUUUUUUUCUUAAGUUUUUAGGCCCCGCACAGUGGCUCAUGCCUGUAAUCCCAGUACUUCUGGAAGUCGAGGCAGGCAGAUCAUCCCAAGCCCAGGAUGGAGCCCAGGUCCAUUCGAGACCAGCCUGGACAACAUGGUUGCUCUGGACACACAGCAUACUCCAGACCUGGACCCUACAAGCAACAUUCCACAGAUGAUCUGGGAGCCAUCUUUGGCUUUUUUCUUUCAUCCUCCACAUCUGAUGUAUCCUAUCAGUUCUACUUUCCAAAUAUGGCUUCUCCCCACCACCAUCGUGACCACCCUGGUUCAACCACCACUUCUCUCACUUGGAUGACUGUAAUAACUCCAGUUAUUACCAGAUGACAGAACACAUCAACCACGGCAGCAUGUUUGGGAACUUUGCUCUCCAUUUGUAUAACAUAAAGACUCCCAUGAGAACGACAUCUUUCAUCAUCAGAAAUCGAUGAGUCCCAGUAUCUGGUGUUGCAGGGGCAGCAAGAGAGAUGGGUCCAUUCAUACAUCAAAAGAUUAUGUCAGCUGAGCACAGUAGCUCACACUUGUAAUCUCAGCACUUUGGGAGGCUGAGGUAGGAGGAUCACUUGAGCCCAGGAGUUUGAGACCAGCCUGGGCAACAUAAUGAGGUCUUAUCUCUACUAAAAAUACAAAAAAUUAGCCAAGUAUGGUAGCGUGCGCCUGUAGUCCCAGUUAUUCAGGAAGCUGAGGCAGAAAGAUCAUUUGCACCCAGGAAGUUGAAGCUACAGUGAGCCGUUACUGCACCACCACACUCCAUCCAGCCUGGGCAACAUAACGAGACCCUGUCUCAACAACAACAACAACAACAACAAAAUUGACCCAAUAUUCAAUGAUCAAAAGGUAAAGUGACCUUAAAAAUAUUUCUAGAAGACAUUUUCAAAGAUUUUACCGAUGAAGUAGAAUGCUGUAGAGCAGGGGGCCCCACCCCUGGGCCAGAGACCGGUACUGUCCAUGGCCUAUUAGGAACCAGGCCACACAGGAGGAGGUGAGCAACAGGCGAGCAUCUGUCAGAUCAGUGGCGGCAUCAGAUUCUCAUACCAGCAUGAAUCCUAUUGUGAACUGCACAUGUGAGGGAUCUAGGUUGCCCGCUCCUUAUGAGAAUCUAACUAAUGUCUGAUGAUCUGAGAUGGAACGGUUUCAUCCCGAAACCAUACACUUCCACCCCCGUCUGUGGAAAAAUUAUCUUCCACAAAACCGGUCCCUGGUGCCAAAAAGGUUGGGGACCACUGCUGUAGAGGCUUUAAUGUGAUCCCACUCUAAGUAUCCAACAUUACCCUAGGUCCAUCUAUAAGCAUGUAAUAAACUCUGUAAGCCUUAAUUUUUAAUUUUCUUAUCUGUAAUAUGGGCAUAUUAAUAAUAGUGCCUAACUAUACAGAACUGUCAUUUAAUUCUCACAUUUUGGCUCAAGGCCUAGCAUAAAGUAAAUGUACAAAAUAUUCUUUCAUUUAACAAAUACUUGCAUGUCUACCAUGACCUAUAGAUACCUAGUGAAAACAAGUCCCUGCCUACAUGGAGCUUACAUUCUAAUGACAGCAUGAGACAAUUAACUAAUACAAAUAGCAUAAUGUUGGAAAGAAAAAUAAAGCCGGGUUAGGAGAUAAAAGAUCACAGUGAAAGUGGUAGAAGUGGCUAUUUUAGAUAAAAGCAAACAAGCUGCCACCUCUGAGGAGAUAUCUGAGCAGGAAUCUGAAUGAAAUUUAAGGAACAGCAAGACCAGCAGUAUAGCCAGGUGGGCAAACAAUGAUCAAAUGUGAAAUCAGA